GACGAACGCUGGCGGCGUGCUUAACACAUGCAAGUCGAACGGAAAGGCCCUGCUUUUGUGGGGUGCUCGAGUGGCGAACGGGUGAGUAACACGUGAGUAACCUGCCCUUGACUUUGGGAUAACUUCAGGAAACUGGGGCUAAUACCGGAUAGGAGCUCCUGCUGCAUGGUGGGGGUUGGAAAGUUUCGGCGGUUGGGGAUGGACUCGCGGCUUAUCAGCUUGUUGGUGGGGUAGUGGCUUACCAAGGCUUUGACGGGUAGCCGGCCUGAGAGGGUGACCGGCACCAUGGGGACGGGGAUACGGCCCAGACCCCUACGGGAGGCAGCGGUGGGGAAUUUUGCACAAGGGGCGGAAGCCGGAUGCAGCACCGCCGCGUGCGGAAUGACGGCCUUCGGGUUGUAAACCGCUUUCGCCUGUGACGAAGCGUGAGUGACGGUAAUGGUAAAAGAAGCACCGGCUAACUACGU
rnacentral:rRNA from 1 species